rnacentral:rRNA from 1 species
AUUGAACGCUGGCGGCAGGCUUAACACAUGCAAGUCGAGCGGGGUGAUGGUGCUUGCACUAUCACUUAGCGGCGGACGGGUGAGUAAUGCUUAGGAAUCUGCCUAUUAGUGGGGGACAACAUCUCGAAAGGGAUGCUAAUACCGCAUACGUCCUACGGGAGAAAGCAGGGGAUCACUUGUGACCUUGCGCUAAUAGAUGAGCCUAAGUCGGAUUAGCUAGUUGGUGGGGUAAAGGCCUACCAAGGCGACGAUCUGUAGCGGGUCUGAGAGGAUGCUUCGCCACACGGGGACUGAGACACGGCACAGACUCCUACGGGAGGCAGCAGUGGGGAAUAUUGGACAAUGGGGGGAACCCUGAUCCAGCCAUGCCGCGUGUGUGAAGAAGGCCUUAUGGUUGUAAAGCACUUUAAGCGAGGAGGAGGCUCUUUUGGUUAAUACCCAAGAUGAGUGGACGUUACUCGCAGAAUAAGCACCGGCUAACUCUGUGCCAGCCGCCGCAGUAA